rnacentral:pre_miRNA from 12 species
UCUAACUGGUAACCAGGAGGAUGACCUAUGAAAUGACAGCCACUUCCACACCAAACAUGUCUGUCAUUUCUGUAGGCCAAUAUUCUGAUUGCCUUGUUGACGGC